GAUGAAGAACGCAGCGAAAUGCGAUAAGUAAUGUGAAUUGCAGAAUUCAGUGAAUCAUCGAAUCUUUGAACGCACCUUGCGCUCCUUGGUAUUCCGAGGAGCAUGCCUGUUUGAGUGUCAUUAAUAUAUCAACCUCUUCAGCUUAUGCUUGUUGAGUGUUGGAUGGUGGGGGUUUGCUGGUGUCUUAUGAAGUCAGCUCCUCUGAAAUGCAUUAGCGGAACAAUUUGUUGACCGCUCAUUGGUGUGAUAAAAAUAUCUACGCUAUUGACGUCAGUCAGUUCAGCUUCUAACAGUCCAUUGACUUGGACAAAUUUUUCAUUAAUGUGACCUCAAAUCAGGUAGGACUACCCGCUGAACUUAAGCAUAUCAAUAAGCGGAGGA
rnacentral:misc_RNA from 1 species